rnacentral:rRNA from 1 species
AUGGCGUCCCGGAGCUGCACCUUCGUCGAGAUCCUGCUCGCCGUCAUCCUGCCGCCGCUCGGCGUCUUCCUCCGCUACGGCUGCUGCAGCAUGGAGUUCUUGAUCUGUCUGCUGCUCACCAUCCUGGGCUACAUCCCCGGCAUCAUCUACGCCAUCUACGUGCUCGUCGCGCAUGGCUCGGCCUCGGAGGAGAGCGGCAAGGACUACGACGCCCUUGCUUGA